rnacentral:rRNA from 1 species
GACGAACGCUGGCGGCGUGCUUAACACAUGCAAGUCGAACGGAAAGGCCCUGCUUUUGUGGGGUGCUCGAGUGGCGAACGGGUGAGUAACACGUGAGUAACCUGCCCUUGACUUUGGGAUAACUUCAGGAAACUGGGGCUAAUACCGGAUAGGAGCUCCUGCUGCAUGGUGGGGGUUGGAAAGUUUCGGCGGUUGGGGAUGGACUCGCGGCUGAUCAGCUUGUUGGUGGGGUAGUGGCUUACCAAGGCUUUGACGGGUAGCCGGCCUGAGAGGGUGACCGGCCACAUUGGGACUGAGAUACGGCCCAGACUCCGACGGGAGGCAGCAGUGGGGAAUAUUGCACAAUGGGCGGAAGCCUGAUGCAGCAGCGCCGCGUGCGGGAUAACGGCCUUCGGGUUGUAAACCGCUUUCGCCUGUGACGAAGCGUGAGUGACGGUAAUGGGUAAAGAAGCACCGGCUAACUACGUG